AGAGUUUGAUCCUGGCUCAGGAUGAACGCUAGCUACAGGCCUAACACAUGCAAGUCGUGGGGCAGCGGGUAUGUUUGUUUUCAAGCAUAUGCCGGCGACCGGCGCACGGGUGAGUAACGCGUAUCCAACCUGCCCAUCACAAGGGAAUAACCCGUCGAAAGUCGGCCUAAUGCCCUAUGUAUUCCGAUGAAGUCCUCUGAAUCGGAAUAAAGCAUUUGCGGUGAUGGAUGGGGAUGCGUCUGAUUAGCUUGUCGGCGGGGUAACGGCCCACCGAGGCGACGAUCAGUAGGGGUUCUGAGAGGAAGGUCCCCCACAUUGGAACUGAGACACGGUCCAAACUCCUACGGGAGGCAGCAGUGAGGAAUAUUGGUCAAUGGGCGAGAGCCUGAACCAGCCAAGUAGCGUGCAGGAUGACGGCCCUAUGGGUUGUAAACUGCUUUUAUACGGGGAUAAAAGGGUGAACGUGUUCUCCUUUGCAGGUACCGUAUGAAUAAGGACCGGCUAAUUCCGUGCCAGCAGCCGCGGUAAUACGGAAGGUCCUGGCGUUAUCCGGAUUUAUUGGGUUUAAAGGGAGCGCAGGCUGCACUUUAAGCGUGUUGUGAAAUGUACCGGCUCAACCGGUAACGUGCAGCGCGAACUGGGGUGCUUGAGUACGAAGAGGGAAGGCGGAACUCGUGGUGUAGCGGUGAAAUGCUUAGAUAUCACGAGGAACUCCGAUCGCGAAGGCAGCUUUCCGUUUCGGAACUGACGCUGAGGCUCGAAAGUGCGGGUAUCGAACAGGAUUAGAUACCCUGGUAGUCCGCACGGUAAACGAUGGAUGCUCGCUGUUGGAUAUUUUUAUUCAGUGGCUAAGUGAAAACGUUAAGCAUCCCACCUGGGGAGUACGCCGGCAACGGUGAAACUCAAAGGAAUUGACGGGGGCCCGCACAAGCGGAGGAACAUGUGGUUUAA
rnacentral:rRNA from 1 species